UGAGUAACCUGCCCUUGACUCUGGGAUAAGCGUUGGAAACGACGUCUAAUACCGGAUACGAGCUUCCACCGCAUGGUGAGUUGCUGGAAAGAAUUUUGGUCAAGGAUGGACUCGCGGCCUAUCAGCUUGUUGGUGAGGUAAUGGCUCACCAAGGCGACGACGGGUAGCCGGCCCGAGAGGGUGACCGGCCACACUGGGACUGAGAUACGGCCCAGACUCCGUACGGGAGGCAG
rnacentral:rRNA from 1 species